CAUUGAUCUGUGAUGUUCUGAAGAAUAAUCUGCGUUAUCUAUCUGAAAUUCCAUCUUGGAAUUGAAGUUGAACAUUUUUUCUUUCUGAGAUCAACA